rnacentral:lncRNA from 1 species
UUUUCAUGAGUUUUCCGGCGCGGUGGCCGGUGGUGCACCACCGUGCCGGAGUUUUCAAAACCCUCCUUUUUCAAAAACAAUUACAUAUUAUUAUAUCCUUUUUCGCAUAGGUGAUAGAUCCGGACUUAGAUUUCAAAGAAAAGCAACAACACGUUCUAGAUCUACAUUCAAACAACACGAAAAUAAAAUACUACCUUUUUUUACCUCGGAUUCCGAUCUGCUUCUUCUCUAAUCUUUGAAUUCGCUUCUGUUC